rnacentral:rRNA from 1 species
CUACGGGGCGCUGCAGUGGGGAAUAUUGCGCAAUGGGGGAAACCCUGACGCAGCAACGCCGCGUGGGUGAAGAAGGCCUUCGGGUUGUAAAGCCCUGUCAGGAGGGAAGAAUAAGAAGUCGGUUAAUACCCGGUUUCUCUGACGGUACCUCCAAAGGAAGCGCCGGCUAACUCCGUGCCAGCAGCCGCGGUAAUACGGAGGUCGCGAGCGUUGUUCGGAAUUAUUGGGCGUAAAGCGUGUGUAGGCGGCUUGGCAAGUUGGAUGUGAAAGCCCUUGGCUCAACCAAGGAAUUGCAUUCAAAACUGCUAAGCUUGAGUGCGGGAGAGGGAAGCAGAACUCCUAGUGUAGAGGUGAAAUUCGUAGAUAUUAGGAGGAAUACCCGUGGCGAAGGCGGCUUCCUGGACCGACACUGACGCUGAGACACGAAAGCGUGGGGAGCAAACAGGAUUAGAUACCCGCAUAGUC